AAAAUCAGAGAUGGCUGAGUCUGAAAGGUUUUGAAAGAACAAUUGAAUUUCCUGUAUUUUCCUUAGUCAGAAAUUGAUUCAAUUUUGCCACAAAUUGCAUAGUUAACCUGAGCAUUUGAGUCUCCAUAGAAUGGUCUUCAGUGGUUUUUUUUCCUACUGGUGUGAAGAAGCUGUGUUUUGCUUGGAUUUGCUAGCUUUUUAUUGUUACAUUGUUGUUGAUAUUGUUCUGUUGUUGCUGAUCCCUCAUUCUUCUUGCUUUUUUUGCUUUUCCAGGUAUCUCUUGGAACCAUAAACAACAUGUGAUAUGUGAAUCUGCACUUUGAAUGUGAAACACUUUGGAUACAAGUUGAAUCUCAAGUUUAUUUCUUCUAUUUCUGUAUAAUUAUGUAUAUAAACCCUAUAUUAUGCAUGUUAGUCUAGCCCUUUCUCAUGUUGCUAAAGUCUUGUAAAGUGAAUCCAUGUUUGCUCGUUGGUCUGAUUCUGUGAGGGUUUGAGUAUGAGGUUUGGAUUCACAUGAAUUGAAGUUCUGAUCAUAUAGGUUACAAAGUUAUUGAAAUAGGUUUUUGGACAUAUGUGUGUCGUGAGAUCACUGUAAUAGAAGUUCA
rnacentral:lncRNA from 1 species